GAUGAACGCUGGCGGCGUGCUUAACACAUGCAAGUCGAACGGAAAGGCCCAAGCUUGCUUGGGUCCUCGAGUGGCGAACGGGUGAGUAACACGAGGGUGAUCUGCCCUGCACUUCGGGAUAAGCCUGGGAAACUGGGUCUAAUACCGGAUAGGACCACAUUUUGGAUGGUGUGGUGGAAAGUUUUUCGGUGUGGGAUGAGCUCGCGGCCUAUCAGCUUGUUGGUGGGGUAAUGGCCUACCAAGGCGUCGACGGGUAGCCGGCCUGAGAGGGUGUACGGCCACAUUGGGACUGAGAUACGGCCCAGACUCCUACGGGAGGCAGCAGUGGGGAAUAUUGCACAAUGGGCGCAAGCCUGAUGCAGCGACGCCGCGUGGGGGAUGACGGCCUUCGGGUUGUAAACUCCUUUCGCUAGGGACGAAGCGUUAUGUGACGGUACCUGGAGAAGAAGCACCGGCUAACUACGUG
rnacentral:rRNA from 1 species